ensembl:misc_RNA Metazoa_SRP Metazoan signal recognition particle RNA
GCUGGGUAUGGUGGCUCAUGCCUGUAAUCCCAGCUACUCAGGAGGCUGAGGCAGGAGAAUUGCUUGAACCCAGGAGGCAGAGGCUGCAGUGAGCCGAGAUCGCGCCACUGCACUCUAGCCUGGGUGACACAGCAAGAUUCCGUCUCAA